UAGUGGCGCUGGUGUUUAGACCCGACAGAUCGGUAUCCUGUGCCAAUCUUAUCUAUUCCCUUGACUGUGACCCUUAAUUCGUGUUCCAAAGGAGGAGAAUGAAAGUAUGGACCAGUCAGCUUCAUCGCUGCGCAUAUGUAAGGUGGAAUGCUGCUUGGAGGAUGAUGCAGUGGGUCAGACACAACCACAUCAGGACAGGAUGACACAACGGAAUGUGACCAGCUGAUCUGCUGCCAUCACUUCAGAGCCAACAAUAACUUUCUUCAUUUGUAUGGACCGAGACCACACCAUGCUUCACAGACCCGAGGCCACAACCCUUCGAAUUACAUCCUGGACCUACUUGCUGCUACGUGAACAAAGGCUACAUAUUAAGAGGAAACAAAAUAUCGAAGUAAACAUGAGAAAGUUGAAAAAGAACUAAGCAUACAAUCACACCAGUGUUGCCAAUUCAGAUUUUUAAAACCUGCAAGCCAUAUCCAAAAUCCCUCUCAGUUCCAGCAGAAACAUGCCAGAUAUAUUCUAAACUGUUGAGUAUAUAUAUAUCAGCCUCUCCCCCUAAUCUUUCCUCCAAGGGGAGGAUGGUAUACCAAUAAGAGGAAAAAUUACACAGUAAAUUAUUCUUUUCUGAUAAAGAAGAAAGACAGUGCCAAACCAGAAAUGUUUGCUCAAUAUACUAGGACUUAAAAUAUUGUGCCUUACCUAAGCUCAACAUAGGUGCAUGAAUGUUAACAUUUUGAUGACUUGAAAUACAUAGACUCUUCUAGGGAUGAGAAAGAUAAGAAAGAGGUCAAUUAUAGGUUAUGUAUUAAAACUCUUAGUUACCCCCCAAAAAAAACUGAAUACCAAACAGUGACACACUGCAUGAGAAAUGUGUAUGAAGAAAUAGUCUUAUUACACGUAUAUAAUGUCUACCUGUCAUCAAGCAAAGAAUAAAAUUACGUAUGGAAAUACAGUAAACCCCCGAUUAUCCGAAAGGAAAUAAAUAAAAUAAAUAAAUAAAAAUAAAAAUAAAAAACUACUGUUACAAAAUGCACCCCCACCCCCCGUUGGGGCAUGCACAGUUAUCUCCCAACAUGUUCCUGAUUGACCUGCCUUCAGCUUGUCCAAUAUCUCCAGCUUCUGUAAGAUUGCUUAUUCUAUGAAGGUUACCGAGUGCUUAAUCAAGAAUGGAACGCUGCAAAUGCAUUAAUUUUUCAGAUACUUUCUGUUACAUCUGUGGAGCUUUUACACCUGAAACCUUGAAAAAAUCUAUCACAAAAAAUGUUAAAAAGGCAUACAAACUAUACUUUAAAUGCCCUGUUGGUGAUCAAGACAAGAAAUGGGCACCUCACAUUGCAUGUAAACCCUGUGUGAAUCAUUUGAAUGAAUGGAUGCAUGGUAAAAGGCCUUUUGCUGUACCAAUCAAUGGUUUGGCGUGAACAAAAAGAUCAUUCUUCUGACUGCUACUUCUGCCUCACUAAUACCAAAGGUUAUUCUGUGAAAACUCAAUUUAAGAUUAAGUAUCCAGAUGUGCCAUCUGCUCACAGACCAGUUCCUCAUAGUCCUGAGUUACCAGUUCCCAAACCUCCAUUAGGUAGCCAAAGUGAGUGAGUGGUGAAUGCAUGGAUACUGACUUUCAAGAUGUAGAGAGAAAGGAACCCCAUCUUAUUAGUCAAGAAGAGUUGCAUGACCUUGUAAGACAAGAGUGAACUACUAGGAUCCAGACUCAAGCAAUGGAAUUUGCUGUAAGGAGGAGUUCACACUACCACUUUCCGCCAAAGGCAUGAGAAGCUCUCUCAGUAUUUCAAAAUGGAUGACAAACUUUGUUACUGCUAUGAUGUUGUGUCACUAAUGGAACAUCUUUGUAAGUCUCAUGCUUAUGAAAAAGAUGAGUGGAGGUUAUUUAUUGAUUCUGGAAAGGAUACAUUGAAGGCAGUUCUUCUCCACAAUGGUAAUGAAUUACCUUCUGUUCCAAUUGCUCACGCACAUGGAAUGAGUGAAAGUUAUGAAACUAUGAAGACACUGUUGUCUGCAGUUGACUGUAAGAUCCAUCAAUGGAACAUCUGUGGAGACCUAAAGGUGAUCUCUUUGCUUCUUGGAUUGCAACAAGGCUACACAAAGCACAUGUGUUUCCUUUGUCUAUGGGAUAGCAGAUCAGACACUAAACAUUAUAUAAAGGGAAUGGCCAGAGACCAAAAGACUUAGUUGGGAAGUUUAACUGUCUUAACAAAAGUCUUGUUGACCCUGAAGAGGUGUUUUUAUCACCACUUCACUUGAAACUCGGAUUAAUGAAGAACUUUGUGAAAGCCAUGGAUCAAGAUGGUGAUGGUUUUCAUUAUUUGGUGACAAAGUUCAAAGGUAUUUUAUCUGAUGCUAAAGUAAAGGCAGGUGUUUUUAAUGGUCCCCAAAUUCGUCUUAUACUGAAUGACCAAGACUUUAGAAAUGCACUAUCAGAGUUAGAAAUGGCUGCUUGGGAUAGCUUUGUGGUUUUUACAAAGUCUUUUUUAGGAAAUUUUAGAGCUCCAAAUUAUGAAGAGCUUGUUGACGAACUGCUGAAGUUACCAAGAGUUUGGUGCUCGAAUGUCACUUAAGAUACAUUUCUUUCUUUCUCACCUGGAUUUCUUUCCAAAGAACCUGGGUGAAGUCAGCGAUGAGCAUGGAGAAAGAUUCCACCAGGAAAUUGCCAUCAUGGAAACUUGAUAUCAAGGUCAAUUCAAUCCGAAUAUGAUGGGUGACUAUUGUUGGACUUUACAGCGAGAAAGUGAUAGUUCCUCGUAAAGUUGAGAAAGUGAUAGUUCCUCAUACAAACGCAAAAGUCAAGUUCAAAAACACUUUUGAUAUGUAUUGUAUCAUUAAUUAUGGUUUGUUUGUGUCUAUUUUCAUAUCUUCAGUUUAUUAAAAUAAAAAUAUUAUUGGCCUAUAUGUAUACUUCUACCAAAAAGUAGGCUUAUGCUGUACUGGAACAAUGGUAGGUGACAGAGUUUUG